rnacentral:sRNA from 1 species
ACCUGUUGCGGUGAUAUAAAGUGAAUAUGGCUGUCAAUUCCCCCUGCAGUAACAAUAAGUCCUUCCCCUGCAAUUGCUUCUGUAGAUGCACCAACUACUAAAUUGUCAUUCACUCCAUCCAUUAUAUCCGGAUUUCCUGCUUUUCCUAUUCCAACAAUUUUUCCAUCCUUAACUCCAAUAUCAGCUUUUACAAUACCCCAGUAGUCUAUAAUCAGGGCAUUGGUUAUUACCAAAUCCAGUACACCCUGUACUCUUUUUGCACCAGCAGAUUGUCCCAUACCAUCUCU